CAGUAGCCGCGGGAAUACGAAGGGGGCUAGCGUUGCUCGGAAUGACUGGGCGUAAAGGGCGCGUAGGCGGAUUGUUUAGUUAGGCGUGAAAUUCCUGGGCUUAACCUGGGGACUGCGCUUAAUACAGGCAGUCUAGAGUGAGGAAGAGGGUUGUGGAAUUCCCAGUGUAGAGGUGAAAUUCGUAGAUAUUGGGAAGAACACCGGUGGCGAAGGCGGCAACCUGGUCCUUGACUGACGCUGAGGCGCGAAAGCGUGGGGAGCAAACAGGAUUAGAUACCCCUGUAGUCCCUGUCUCUUAUAC
rnacentral:rRNA from 1 species